rnacentral:tRNA from 1 species
CACAGAGUGCCUGACCAAAGGAUUAUUUUGAUGAAAUAAAUUACACAGGAACCCCCCCCUGUCUCUGUGG